rnacentral:rRNA from 1 species
GAUGAACGCUGGCGGCGUGCCUAAUACAUGCAAGUCGAGCGAACAGACGAGGAGCUUGCUCCUUUAACGUUAGCGGCGGACGGGUGAGUAACACGUAGGUAACCUACCUAUAAGACUGGGAUAACUUCGGGAAACCGGAGCUAAUACCGGAUAAUAUUUCGAACCGCAUGGUUCGAUAGUGAAAGAUGGCUUUGCUAUCACUUAUAGAUGGACCUGCGCCGUAUUAGCUAGUUGGUAAGGUAACGGCUUACCAAGGCAACGAUACGUAGCCGACCUGAGAGGGUGAUCGGCCACACUGGAACUGAGACACGGUCCAGACUCCUACGGGAGGCAGCAGUAGGGAAUCUUCCGCAAUGGGCGAAAGCCUGACGGAGCAACGCCGCGUGAGUGAUGAAGGUCUUCGGAUCGUAAAACUCUGUUAUUAGGGAAGAACAAACGUGUAAGUAACUGUGCACGUCUUGACGGUACCUAAUCAGAAAGCCACGGCUAACUACGUG